CCCGGUCGGUGCGGGCCGGGUAAUCGCCUGAUCGCGAACAGGUUAGGGAAUCCGGUAGGUGACGAUCCGGAGCUGCCCCCGCAACUGUGACCGGCGAGCCCUUCGCUCCCACGUGCGCCACUGGAUCGUUCGCGGUCCGGGAAGGCCGGGCGAAGGGUGGCGACCCGGAAGCCAGGAAACCUGCCUGAUCGCGGUUGUCCUU
rfam:Sphingomonas sp. Leaf231 contig_1, whole genome shotgun sequence.